AAGUCGUAACAAGGUUUCCGUAGGUGAAGGUUUGCCUACUGAAGCCCGUAGCCAGCGACUCUAAAAAAAUCAGCUAUAGUCGCCCCUCCGGGGGUUGGCGACGCCAUCAAUCUGUGUCUGGGAGCGCUUCCCCCCUUGGGGGAGUACUACCAGCAGCUCGUUGUAUGCGAGUUCACAGGUCAAACGAUAGCGGCCACUUCGGUGGUUGAGAUAUGAUCGGCCUCCAGCUGUUACCCGGUUGGGGAGAUUUAGCGGAACCUGCGGAAGGAUCAUU
rnacentral:misc_RNA from 1 species